rnacentral:rRNA from 1 species
AUUUAAAGUCUAGCCUGCCCAAUGAUUGUAGUAUUUAAUGGCUGCAGUAUUUUGACUGUACAAAGGUAGCAUGAUCAUUAGUUUUUUAAUUGGAAACUGGUAUGAAUGGCUGGAUGAAAAAAUGACUGUCUCAAUAUAAUUUAUUUUUGAAUUUUAUUUUUAAGUAAAAAAGCUUAAAUUUUUUAAAAAGACGAGAAGACCCUUUAGAGUUUUAUAUAUAAUUUAUAUAUUUUAAUUUAGUAUUUUGUUUUUAUGUUUAUGUAUAUUUUGUUGGGGUGACAUUAAAAUUUAAUUAACUUUUAUAAUUUUUUAUCAUUAAUUUAUGUUUAUUUGAUCCUAUAUUUUAGAUUAAAAGAAAAAAUUACCUUAGGGAUAACAGCGUAAUUUUUCUUCAGAGUUCAAAUCGAAAGAAGAGAUUGCGACCUCGAUGUUGGAUUAAAAUUUAUAUUUGGUGUAACAGUUAGAUAAUUAGGUCUGUUCGACCUUUAAAAUUUUACAUGAUCUGAGUUUAAACCGGCGUGAGCCAGGUUGGUUUCUAUCUUUUAAUAAAUUUUAUAAUGUUUUAGUACGAAAGGACCAGGCAUUAAAAUAACUUAUAAUUUAGAAUUGUGAUUAAAAAUAAUUUAUUUAUAUUAAUUUGGCAGAAUAGUGCAAUAGAUUUAGAAUCUUUAUAUGUGAAAUUUAAGUUUACACAAUUAAUAUUGUUUAUAAAAGAUUUAAUUUUAAUUAUUAUUUCUAUAUUAAUUUUAGUUAUUUCGGUAUUAAUUGGAGUGGCUUUUUUAACUUUGUUGGAACGGAAGUU